rnacentral:rRNA from 1 species
GACGAACGCUGGCGGCGUGCUUAACACAUGCCAGUCGAACGGAAAGGCCCUGCUUUUGUGGGGUGCUCGAGUGGCGAACGGGUGAGUAACACGUGAGUAACCUGCCCUUGACUUUGGGAUAGCUUCAGGAAACUGGGGCUAAUACCGGAUAGGAGCUCCUGCUGCAUGGUGGGGGUUGGAAAGUUUCGGCGGUUGGGGAUGGACUCGCGGCUUAUCAGCUUGUUGGUGGGGUAGUGGCUUACCAAGGCUUUGACGGGUAGCCGGCCUGAGAGGGUGACCGGCCACAUUGGGACUGAGAUACGGCCCAGACUCCUACGGGAGGCAGCAGUGGGGAAUAUUGCACAAUGGGCGGAAGCCUGAUGCAGCAACGCCGCGUGCGGGAUGACGGCCUUCGGGUUGUAAACCGCUUUCGCCUGUGACGAAGCGUGAGUGACGGUAAUGGGUAAAGAAGCACCGGCUAACUACGUG